GUCUAGAGGCCUAGGACACCGCCCUUUCACGGCGGCAACACGGGUUCGAAUCCCGUACGGGACGCCA
rnacentral:tRNA from 1 species